GGGCCCAUAGCUCAGUUGGUAGAGCGCCUCAAUGGCAUUGAGGAGGCCAACGGUUCAAAUCCGUUUGGGUCCA
rnacentral:tRNA from 1 species